GGACACAAUUGUGCCAAACGGACGUAUGCACCAAACGGAGAAAUCCCCGCUGGUGCCCUGAGCAUGUCCUUGAACCGGCACGCUGAGCGCUGGCGGGGGCUGGACAUUCAGAUAUUGAUCAUUCUUAACUGCCUUCGUUUGUCCAGUUGAUCUCAAGCUCCAGAUGUGUGAGUGCCAACGGCGCAUGUUAAUAACAUUGUGCAUGUUUUCCGCUUUCAGUCCUCUCUUUCUGCAUGUGUUUCAUGCAUCUUUCUGCAUUUAAAUGUGCUUCUGUUGACGCUCUCAGAGGCCCAACACCUCCUCAUCCACAGCCGGCGUCCAAAUGGCUGCUGCUGUUUAGGAAUUGCCUCUUUAUUGACGAAUGGACGCGGCCGAGGAGCCGGAGAGAGACCAAGUCCGAGGGCCUCAGAGACGGACGCGCGUCGUAAAGUCAGACUGCGGAGCCAGAGGACGUCCUCCGCCGGGACCUCCGAGAGCGGCUGCGCGUCGCCGAAAUGGAGAUCUCACCGCGCCUCGAGGCCUUUUAAAUGUUGAAUACGUGCUGAAGAGGCUGAGAGGCUUUCUCGUUUGGAUCUCCGCAGCAACUCGGUCAGGUGUCUCUCAGUAUCAGUGAUACCUCUGGUCACUCAGGGGGGGGACAUGGAAUAUGUAUUUAAUUACAUGAAUUAACGGGACGCCUCAGCAGGAUGAAGAGGGAUCGGCCGCGGCGGUGGCUCAGUGGCUCAAUGGUAGUUUGAUGACAUCGGCGCCGCGAGAUAACGCACCUCCUGACGCCUCGGCGGUGAAACAGAAGGCCGCUUCGCCGCGCCUGGUCUGCGCGGGUCGGUCGGCGCUCUCGUUGGCGACGGUCCGGGUCCUCGUGGCGUCCGGUUGGACGACGGCCAGCUGGUGACAUCUGACACGAUGGAAGGCCGACGGCAACUCAAGAAAGAUGGAGAGCUCCAUGUGGCCUGAAGUCCACCUAGAUCUCACUGGAUGAACAGAACUUAUUCAGACAGCACUCACGGAGCAAAUACUGGAGGAUCGUAACGUAUCACCUGCAUCAGAAGAACUUCCAGCAUUGUUGGGAAAGGUCAGAAGAGGUCACCGGGGAGUAUUCACACUGAAAUAUCACAACAAAAAUGUCAGAUAAUAAAAAUGUUCUUCUCUACAAAUCUGGGCAAUUCCUCUCUGCAGUGAAGUGUUUUUACGUAUGACGUAUUUACAGUGCGCGAUUUUCUGGGAGAGUUUAUGGUGUAAAAUAAGUGUGUUGGUGUGUGUUUUGUGUGCAUGUUUAUACCUGCCG
ensembl:lncRNA